rnacentral:misc_RNA from 1 species
UUUCCGUAGGUGAACCUGCGGAAGGAUCAUUACCGAGUGAGGGCCCUCUGGGUCCAACCUCCCACCCGUGUUUAUCGUACCUUGUUGCUUCGGCGGGCCCGCCGCAAGGCCGCCGGGGGGCAUCUGCCCUCUGGCCCGCGCCCGCCGAAGACACCAUUGAACGCUGUCUGAAGAUUGCAGUCUGAGCAAUUAGUUAAAUAACUUAAAACUUUCAACAACGGAUCUCUUGGUUCCG